GCCUAUAUAUGUAAAAUUGGAUUUGCACAUGCUUAAGCAACAAACAGGUUCUCACUACUAGAAAACACUCCUGAUAUCUUGAACUGAUAAUUAUUGUUUACAAAACUGUCAAAUGCUUAUGAAUAGCACUGGCAAAACACCACCACUCCAGCCCAUAAUACACAGCAGCAUUAUACCCUCACAGAACCAUGGGAGUUGGGGCAGAAGGGAUGUAGAUACGAGCAUCGUCACUAAGAAGAGUCAACCUUGCUGGUGGCUGCAACCCAUUAGGCAAAGGUGAAAGUAAAAUGACAACGUAGCCUAUUACCAUGAUGUCACUUGUGAUCAGAAGAUACCUGAGACACCAAAAGUGGACCCUCACCCUGCUCUGGUGCUACCUCCUCUUCCUUGAGGUCAGCUACCUGCAUGUCGAGGAGCAAGCCCAGACUGGAUAAUACAGCUAAUGAUGCCCAAAACCACCCAGAGGACAGUAC